rnacentral:lncRNA from 1 species
GAAAACUGUCAAACUGUGAAACACUGUUGUUUCUUUAAACGUCACUAGGUAGGUAGCUGUUGGUGCACACGUUCAGCUGAACAGGAUAAGUUUGUGUGGCAGAUUCACGGCUGAUGUAGCAUGGUCUAUGGUUUUUCAUGAGAAUCCUACUAGGUGCUUGUGUUCAUUUUUUCUAGUGGAAGCUUUUGUGAAGCUCAGGAGCUAUCAAUCUGAAGAAGUAUUCAUGGUCCUUGCAGCUUCAGACGUACCCUGGCACAGAGAUAGGGACCCUCCUUGUACAGGGAAGCUAUGGCACAAAGAAGGGAAAUGAAUACUCUGUGAACAAGACUUCUGUACAAAUCAAAAUAAUAUCAACCUUAGAUCUAGAAGUCCUGGGCUGCUCCUUCCUCCUCAUGGAAAUGACUUUUUGAAGAAAAGUGAUGUAAGGAAGCAUCGAUGCUUGAGCAAAUAUCUGAUCUGGAAGCAGCAGGAUUCAAGAGAGGAAUAGAUAGAUGAGAGAAGAGGGUCUGCUAUGGGCAGCUAAGGUUGUUAGGAGAUUUAGAGAAAGGCUUAUGCUAUGAAGAACAGAGACAAUGGAAAGGAUAUUUUUAAGAAGGAGAAAAGAUACUCAGGCCUGGCAAGAUCUUUGGCUAUAAAAUGAACAUAAGUUAGAACAAAAAUAGGAUUUUCUCUGCAACCCUGGCUCUGAAGGGUUAACUCCAGUCCCUUCUCCAUGCGCUUUCUCUCUCUCCCUCUCCCCCUCAUGGUAAAGAGAGGGAUUAGAGAAGGAUUCUAAUUGGGGAAACAGAGUUACAGUGAUUUUCACGCGGAAAAUGAAAAUGUUAAGGUGUAAAAAUUAGCUGAUUCCCCAAACUAGCUACUGGUUACAUAAAGGAGAAGCAUAUAUGAAGGCAGUUUGUUUUUUGUUUGUUUGUUUUGUUUUGUUUUGGUAGGAUGAGUGAGAUUCCUACUGGAUUGAAAUGUUAUUUGACUUAAUAUAUCUUCUCUAUAGACAGCAAAGCCUUGUACUUUAUCGUAGGUAUAGGUUUUCUGUAACAGUUGGUCUAGCACAGAAUGUUUCUUAACUUUCUCCAGCUACUUAUUUUCAUAAGUGACAAAAUUCUUGUUUGUGAACUACUUUGUUUUGUUUUUCUCUCCUGUUUUCCUUCUAUCCCUUACUUAGCAUAGAGUUAUUAACAGCUUCUGCGCCGCCUUGUUUAUCACUUGCAUCUCUUCUCCUCUGCCACCUUGGUCUGCUGAGAACCCUGUUACAGCUCUGAAGCUCCUGGCCAAACUAGUUGGUGGAGGGU